rnacentral:rRNA from 2 species
UACGAAGGGAGCUAGCGUUGUUCGGAAUUACUGGGCGUAAAGGGCGCGUAGGCGGCCUUGUAAGUUAGAUGUGAAAGCCCCGGGCUUAACCUGGGAACUGCAUUUAAGACUGCAAAGCUUGAGGACGAGAGAGGAAAGUGGAAUUGUGAGUGUAGAGGUGAAAUUCGUAGAUAUUCACAAGAACACCAGUGGCGAAGGCGACUUUCUGGCUCGUAUCUGACGCUAAGGCGCGAAAGCGUGGGGAGCAAACAGG